ACACCGGCAGCUCAAGUGGUGGCCAUUUUUAUUGGGCCUAAAGCGUUCGUAGCCGGCUUGAUAAGUCCCUGGUGAAAUCCCAUAGCUUAACUGUGGGAAUUGCUGGAGAUACUAUUAGGCUUGAGGCCGGGAGAGGUUAGGGGUACUCCCAGGGUAGGGGUGAAAUCCUAUAAUCCUGGGAGGACCACCUGUGGCGAAGGCGCCUAACUGGAACGGACCUGACGGUGAGUAACGAAAGCCAGGGGCUCGAACCGGAUUAGAUACCCGGGUAGUCCUGGCCGUAAACGAUGCGGACUUGGUGUUGGAAUGGCUUCGAGCUGCUCCAGUGCCGAAGGGAAGCUGUUAAGUCCGCCGCCUGGGAAGUACGGUCGCAAGACUGAA
rnacentral:rRNA from 2 species